AUGCGGCUUCAAUGCCUUAUACCAGCACUUAUACACCCUAUGCAGUCAGGUUUUCUACCCGGAAGGUGCAUCUUGGAGUACUUUGCGCUAGCUGCGGAAUUGGUCCAGCAGGCUCACAAAAGGAAGAAGCCCAUGGUUAUGCUAAAACUAGAUUUCCAUAAGGCAUUUGAUACUGUCAGUUGGGAUGCCCUGCAGCAGCUUUUUGUGGCCAGGGGAUUCGGACAACGCUGGACCAAGUGGAUCUCCACCAUCUUCCACUCCAGCUCCGCUCAGAUCAUGAUGAAUGGCCAACUGGGUGAGAAAAUCAGGUCCAAAUCCGGUCUAAGACAGGGAGAUGCCCUCUCGCCAUACCUUUUUAUACUAGUUGCAGAUAUUCUGCAACAGCUCUGCGAGAAGGAAUAUAGGAGUGGUGUACUCAAACACCCUCUUGGGGUAGAUGGCCCCUUCCCGGUCCUUCAGUACGCGGACGACACGCUCUUGCUUGUGCAAGGAGAUAUGCAGCAAAUCACCAUCAUCAAAAGGAUUCUGGACAGCUUUGCAAACUUCACCGGGUUGACUAUCAAUUACCAGAAGAGCACCUUUGUUCCAAUCUGCCUGGACCAGGCAACCCGUCAGCAAGUUGCUAGCAUCCUUCAAUGUCAACCAGUGCCCUUCCCCUGCACAUACCUGGGGCUACCCCUGUCUACUCACAAGAUCAUUCAUAGAGUUGACCGAAGAUUGUCAAGUUGGCUGGCCACUUUUCUGUCAUGGGGAGGAAGACUCACCCUGAUCAACGCCGUCCUCGCAUUCAUGCCCAGCUACUUCAUGGGGUGUUUCUUAUGGCCCAAACAGUCCCUCGACAGCCUGGAAAGAAUUCUGAGAGGUUUCUUAUGGCAAGGGAAGAAUCAUGCACUGGGGGGCCAAUGUCGCGUCGCUUGGGACUUUGUCAAGCUUCCAAGGCAGAAUGGCGGUCUAGGGGUUUGUGAUGUUGCUUCUGACAACAAAGCAAUGGUCUGCAAGGUUUUGGCGCAGAUUCUUCAACACAACAAUGUACCCUGUUACAAGUGGUUCGCAUCAAGGUUCUGUCGCAUGAGCUUUCCUACCAGCCCGCAAAGUGGAGACACUGCUAUUUGGCGCUGUCUGAAGUCAUGCAUGCUCCUAGUUCAGCAGGCCACAAGAUGUGAGCUCGGCGAUGGCACUCACAUCUUGUUCUGGUGCGACUUAUGGCUCGAUUGCGGAUGA
rnacentral:rRNA from 1 species